AGACUCUCGGCAACGGAUAUCUCGGCUCUCGCAUCGAUGAAGAACGUAGCGAAAUGCGAUACUUGGUGUGAAUUGCAGAAUCCCGUGAACCAUCGAGUCUUUGAACGCAAGUUGCGCCCGAAGCCAUUAGGCUGAGGGCACGCCUGCCUGGGUGUUGCACA
rnacentral:rRNA from 1 species